GCAUGGGAGACCCUACCAGUAGCAAAGCUACCGCCGGCAUAGCUCUCAGGAUCCUCGGAACACGCAAGCUCCCUCACCACUACAAGGUGGAAACGCCAUCGAGGGAGAAAUAAAUAUGGCACAAUGAUCGAUUCUUUUAUAUACCGUAAACUGAUAAUUACACAAGACCUGUUCAGCGUCGCUCUCUUUAGAGGCUGUCAAAAUCCUCUUAAGCGGAGUAUUAUAUAGGCUUCUUUUGACACAACUCCACGAUUCGUCGUAAUUCCAAUCUUUAUAAAUAAUGAUUUUCCGAGCCCAGAAAGUGGAUUAUGUUGUUUGGAUAGUCAUUCUUUAUUUGACUUUCGUAAUAAUUAUAAACUUCAUCAAGUACGAAGUCAAAACCAGCACAUUCAGGAUGGAAAUGCUUCAUUUGAGGCGGUGGUCUCAACUGAAGAUUGCUAAUUGUGCUGUUGCCUUCUGCAUUAAGUCAAGUAGAAGGGUGGACGGUCUAGAUCUUAGGAUGAGGUUGGGAC
rnacentral:lncRNA from 1 species